rnacentral:sRNA from 1 species
UGCCCCGGCCCAUUCUGGCAAGGGGAGGAGGUUGUGUUAUGAACCAUCUUUUCGAUAUGUUUUUUGCAAUCGUAGCAGAAGUAACCGCGCAUUACAUCUGCAAAUGGCUUGAUUGUAAAAUUGCCAAAAAAGACAGUAAGCCUACCCGUUAAUCUAAUAUAGAACGUAAAAAAACCCCACUAGCCCGGCAGCUAGUGGGGUUUGGUGUGUUAUG